AUUGAACGCUGGCGGCAGGCCUAACACAUGCAAGUCGAGCGAGCGGCGGACGGGUGAGUAAUGUCUGGGCAACUGCCUGAUGGAGGGGGAUCACUACUGGAAACGGUAACUAAUACCGCAUACCAUCAGAUGUGCCCAGAUGGGAUUAGCUAGUAGGUGGGGUAAUGGCUCACCUAGGCGACGAUCCCUAGCUGGUCUGAGAGGAUGACCAGCCAACCUGGAACCUAGACACGGUCCAGACUCCUACGGGAGGCAGCAGUGGGGAAUAUUGCACAAGUGGCGCAAGACUGAUGCAGCCAUGCCGGGGGUGGUAAGAAGGCCUUCGGGUUGUAAAGCCCUUUCAGCGAGGAGGCGUUACUCGCAGAAGAAGCAACGGCUAACUCCGGGCCAGCAGCCGCGGUAAUUC
rnacentral:rRNA from 1 species